GGGAGGGAAAGGAGAAGGAGAAAAUGGAGUUGUUUCUGAAGAAUCUCUUUCUUAAAUCUACACAAGAUUACUUGGUGUUUGUGAGAGAAGUAGCUAGAAAACAACAGCGAUGCAAAAGAGGAGCUAUUUUGCAGUACAUAGCCUUCCUGUCAUGUCUUUCCCCCGGGAAAACUGAACUUCCACUGCCUUUACAGAAGAAACACUUUGCUAAGAUCCAAUCAUUUUGCCUUGAAGAUUCCGAAUAUUCAUGAACAUUCCUUAACCUCACAGAAGUGGUAAAAUGAGGAAGGUUGGAAGGACAGAAAACACCACUGAAGCCUAAUACAAGCACUGCCAGUGUAGAAUAAAUCAUACAUGUAUACAGUAUUGUGUUUUUUUAAUAAACCUGAUGCACUUGGCAGCUAGGCCAAUAGGCAACAAGUCAA